rnacentral:rRNA from 1 species
UGGGGAAUAUUGGACAAUGGGCGAAAGCCUGAUCCAGCCAUGCCGCGUGUGUGAAGAAGGUCUUCGGAUUGUAAAGCACUUUAAGUUGGGAGGAAGGGCAUUAACCUAAUACGUUAGUGUUUUGACGUUACCGACAGAAUAAGCACCGGCUAACUCUGUGCCAGCAGCCGCGGUAAUACAGAGGGUGCAAGCGUUAAUCGGAAUUACUGGGCGUAAAGCGCGCGUAGGUGGUUUGUUAAGUUGGAUGUGAAAUCCCCGGGCUCAUCCUGUGAACUGCAUUCAAAACUGACUGACUAGAGUAUGGUAGAGGGUGGUGGAAUUUCCUGUGUAGCGGUGAAAUGCGUAGAUAUAGGAAGGAACGCCAGUGGCGAAGGCGACCACCUGGACUAAUACUGACACUGAGGUGCGAAAGCGUGGGGAGCAAACA